rnacentral:rRNA from 1 species
UACGAAGGGGGCUAGCGUUGUUCGGAUUUACUGGGCGUAAAGCGCACGUAGGCGGAUCGUUAAGUCGGGGGUGAAAUCCUGGAGCUCAACUCCAGAACUGCCUUCGAUACUGGCGAUCUUGAGUCCGGAAGAGGUGAGUGGAACUCCUAGUGUAGAGGUGGAAUUCGUAGAUAUUCGGAAGAACACCAGUGGCGAAGGCGGCUCACUGGCCCGGUACUGACGCUGAUGUGCGAAAGCGUGGGGAAGCAAACAGG